GGAAGGAAAGACAGCAGGAGAGAAGGCACCUUGCAGAAAACAACAUGACUCCUGUGAAGAUUUCAGUCCUGACCCUCCUGAUUCUGGGUGUUUUUUGUCAAUGUAUAGCAGCACUUUAUCCCAGCCGUCCAAAAGAAUGCUGCUAUGAUUAUAAGAGAGGCGGACCUCUGCCUGUGAAACUGAUAAGGAGUUACUACAGAACUCCCAGUGACUGUAGCUUAGAGGCUGUGGUGUUUGUAAUGAAGAACGGGAAAAACAUCUGCACUAACCCUAGAGUAUUGUGGGUGAAAAAGACAAUUUCAAUCUUGGCCAGAAAGAAAUAAAGAAUGAUUGAUAAGAACCAGAGAUGUAAUCCCUGGCACGGAGGAAGACCUUUGCAUGGUAUCUUUUUCACGGCUACGUUUUGCAUGCCCAAUUGAGAUGGCUCUAGAAAUGUUUUAAUUGCCAUGGUCUCGCAAAAAAAGCUAUCUGAAAAUUGUAGUUUUGCAAACUGCUAAGAAGUAUCUAGCUUUCCUGUGACUACUGAGUUCUCAGAAUUCCUCUGUUGGGAAUAAUUCAGGUGCAAAACUGCUUUACAUCCUCCCCAUUUCCCGCACUGCCAGUACCGCAUCACGGCCUUUCAAAGUGUAACCAGUUCUUCAUAAAAUCAGAACAAUUUCUUCCGUCAGGCCUAAUUCUUGCUGCUAAUGUGUUUUUGGAGGUGAUUUACAUUUGUUUACAUUUGAGGUUUUUUAAACUGAAUUUUAAAACGGUUGUAACCUGCUAUGAAUUCUUGUUUAACUGAGAAAGCUGGAAUAUAAGCUUAAACAAUCAAUAUACAAUAAAUAAAAUAAAUGUGAUUAAUUGA